CAUGAAGAGGUUAAGCUAUCUACGCUCUUUUGUUUUGCCCUGCCUCUCCCUCCCGAUGAAGAUUUGUCUAUAAAGUUAUUUUUAGAUGCCUUGUGAGCAAAUUUUGUGGGAAGACAGGCAGCCAGCAGCCCCCGGCGAGCUGCUAAGCCCACCCCUCUCAGCUUACAGAGCGCAAUUAGCAGAUAAUCAUGCCAAAAUCGCAGACUCCAAGCGGCUAAUUUUAUCGGUGUGCUGACAUCGUGAGCUUGUUGAAAAAAAACCACAUCAAGCAAAUGCUGAUCUCACUCUGCCUGUAGUAAAGCUUGGGACAUGCUGGGAUGCUCAGAGACAGAAUUUGUGAGUUAAUUUGCACUGAGAGCAGACUGAAAACACAGAAAACUCAUGCAAGCUGGAAAGGCUUUACCAUUAUUUCCCAAACACAGAAAUAUGUGUCUGCAGUGUGCUGCAUUUUAGAACAGCAUCUACUCAGAUGGUGGGGAAUUCAUCACAGCCCAGGGUGAGUAAUUCCAAUGGCUCAUUACUCUUUCAAUUACAAACUGGCACUUUCUUUGCAGUCUGAAUUUGUCUAAUUUUGGUUCCAGCCAUU
rnacentral:lncRNA from 1 species